GGCGCUUUCUUCUAUCGGUUAGGAAAAUAGGUUCUCAGCCUAUGAAGCAGGGUUCGAUUCCCUGAAGCGUCACCA
rnacentral:tRNA from 1 species